UUAAAGAAAAUCUCAUUGUAGGAAAAAACUGUUGUGUAUGCCCUUAAUCUGAUAUCAGUUGCUUAAGGUUAUAACCAUAACUACAUACGAUAUACAACUGACAUACAUAAUUAUAAUAUUCUAUAAAUAGGGAUUUUCGCCGUGACGUCAGAAAUCAGUCACGUGACUUACUGGUUGGCAAAACAUUUGAAAGUUUAAUGGCCGAAUGCUGAGUAAACAAGAGCAAAAUGAUGGUUGUGUCAUGUUGUGUAAUAGGCUGUGCUAAUAAAUUUGAUAAGAGUAGUCCGAAAAGCUUUUACCGCAUACCCAAGAAGCAAGAAUCAAGAAGAGAGCUCUGGAUAUCUGCAAUUAAGCGUCAACACAUCAGUGGUAAAUCAUGGGAACCAGCGGACAUCUUCUGUACUAGCCUUCAUAGACUCCUUUGUAAACAAAGAUGGUGUGUCGAUCAGGUACAGGUAAAUAUCACCGAACGUCAGAUCUGGCCAGGUACCUGGGCUUUGGCUCCAAUUCACGUUAAAUGGUAAGGACCAUGCAGAGAACAGGUACCACGGUUGUACAGCAACUUUACCGUAUAUCUCCUUUUCGCUUCUUCUGACAAAGAGUUCGCAUAUGUUGAUAAAAUAUCGUUAUCGGUAGACUUCUUCAUACUAAGUGCCAUUAUCAAUUUUUGGUUCUGCCAACCAGUUUACACACAUGCCUGAAUCAUGACGUCGCAGUACACUUCGGCGAACAUUCCUAUACAUAUUGUGUAGGAUUAACAUGUAUGUAUGUAAAAUAAUACACAAAUAUGCAAUAAGUAUAACUAAGUAUACAUGUAACUCAAGUAUUAUACAUAUGUAUGAUUAUUUUGGGUGCAGAGUUAGAACUUAGAACCUUAAUAAUGAAUAACGAAUUUAAUCAAUAUCAAUUUUCAUUUAAUCAACUAAUGAUUUGGAAAAUAUUAUAAUAAAAAAGUAAACAAUAGUGUUUAUCUACAGUCAGAUGCAUCUGAGAUCUUUUCCUAUAUAAGACUAUGUUCAACUUUUGUGUCAUAGUACUGACCUCAUCCCGAAUUUUCUCGCGUUACCAUAAACGCUUGCUGUGCUAGCUAUAAACUUGAGAUUUCUGGAUUUGGUGAAACGUACAAAAAAAAAAAAAAAAAAAAAAAAAAAACCGUGGAG